UACGGGGGGGGCAAGCGUUGUUCGGAAUUACUGGGCGUAAAGGGCUCGUAGGCGGCCAACUCAGUCGGACGUGAAAUCCCACGGCUUAACCGUGGAACUGCUCGGUAUACUGGAUGUCUUGAGCCAGCUAGGGGCUACCGGAACAAAUGGUGGGAGCGGUGAAAUGCGUAGAUAUCGGAAGGAACACCAGUGGCGAAAGCGGCUUCCUGGUCCGCAGCAUCGACGUCAGGCACGAAAGCGUGGGGAGCAAACAGG
rnacentral:rRNA from 1 species